rnacentral:rRNA from 1 species
GAGUUUGAUUCCUGGCUCAGGACGAACGCUGGCGGCGUGGAUUAGGCAUGCAAGUCGAACGGUAUAUAUUCUUUCGGGAGUAUAGAGAGUGGCGAACGGGUGAGUAACGCGUAGGUGAUCUACCUUCAAGUGGGGGACAACCCAGGGAAACUUGGGCUAAUACCGCAUGUGUCCUUAAGGAUAAAGCCGGCCUCUGAAUAUGCUGGUGCUUGGAGCUGAGCCUGCGUCUGAUUAGCUAGUUGGUGGGGUAACGGCCUACCGAGGCGAUGAUAAGUAGGCGGCUUUAACGAGUGGUCGCCCACACUGGGAUUGAGAUACGGCCCAGACUCCUACGGGAGGCAGCAGUCGAGGGAUAGUCUACAAUGGUCGAGAGAUUGAUAGUGCGACGCCGCGUGAACGAUGAAGCAUUUCGGUGUGUAAAGUUCUUUUCUAUUGGAGCAGUGCCUUUUAUAUGAACAGUAUGAGAGGAGAGAUAUUACAGUAGGAAUAAGCCACGGCUAACUCCGUGCCAGCAGCCGCGGUAAUACGGGGGUGGCAAGCGUUGUCCGGAAUUACUAGGCGUAAAGGGCAGGUAGGCGGUUAUGUAAGUUAAUUGUUAAAGGCCCAUGCUCACCAUGGGUAAGGCAGUUGAUACUGUAUAACUGGAAGCGAGUGGGGGAAGACGGAAUUCCUGGUGUAGCGGUGGAAUGCGCAGAUAUCAGGAGGAACACCUAAGGCGAAGGCAGUCUUCUACGCUUUGCUUGACGCUAAACUGCGAAGGUGCGGGUAUCAAACAGGAUUAGAUACCCUGGUAGUCCGCACAGUAAACGAUAAUCACUAGGUGUCGGUGGGAUAGACCUGUCGGUGCCGUAGCUAACGCGAUAAGUGAUCG